CCGAUGCCGCCUACCUUCCCGCGCCAUUGUAUAUUGUUUGCUCGGCUAGCUUUACCGGCUCUGCUCCCCCACACCACUUGUCUUUCGAUUCCUCCAUCGCCAGAGCACUGCUCCUUCGAUCUGGAUCUGAUGAUGGAGGCGGUAGAGGCCACACUCGUCGAGGGCGCGAUGCUAUGGCUAGCGCAAACCAUCCUUGCAAAUUUCCUGCUCGACAAGCUCGACGCAUGGCUUCGCCAUGUUGGGCUCGCCGACGACAUCGAGAAGCUCAAGUAUGCGGUCGAGGAGGUCGAGGCGUUGGCUGCCUCCGUCAAGGGGAUGGCGGCCGGGAGCAGGCUGCUUGCCCUACGGCUCUCUCGUCUCAAGGAGCUCCUGUAUGAAGCCGACGACUUGGUCGACGAGCUCGACUACUGCAGGCUCCACCAUGAGGUCCAAGGAGGUACAUUUAGCUGUGCUACUCCCCAUGGCACGAAUGGAGCAGAGCAAGUAGAUGGAUCCAGGGACAAUUACAGGCUCCAGCACCAGGUCGAGGGAGGUAUGAUUGCUUGGGAUAAUCAGCACCAAGGCACGGGUGUAAAUGGCGGAGCACAGCUAGUUGAUGGAACGAGGGACAACUCUGGCAUACCGAAUAGAAACGAUCGCAAGAAACGGUCCAAGGCAUGGGAGGAAUUCAGCAUAACAGAAGAAGACGCUGAUGGAAAGCCUGUGAGAGCAGAGUGUAUCCACUGUGGCACACAGGUUAGAUGCGAGACUACCAAAGGGACAUCAGUUUUGCACAAUCAUCUCAAGAGUGAGAACUGCAAGAGAAAACGUGCAUCAAUUGAACAAACGCCAAACCCUUUAAGUGCUGACGAUGGUGCUCAAAAUGGUGCCGCCAUUUCGACUCAUGAUUCAGAUAGAAGAAAAAGAAUGAGAAGUGAUGAGAUCUUAGCACACAACAUUGCAGCUAACACAAUCCUCUGGGACAAGGCAGAAAUUUGCAAUAGAAUCCAACAAACAACUCAUCAGUUGCAAAAGGCUAUCAGUGAGGUUCAAUCAGGUUAUAUUGCAAGUUCAACAAAUCUAUGUCAGAAUACAGUUGCAGAUUCAUGCCGAAGAACGUCAAGUCUCAUGCAACACAAAAUGUAUGGGAGAAUUGAUGAGAAGAACUCCAUCAUAAAGCAUAUGACAGUAGACAACCCUGACAGUGUAAUUGUUCUUCCUAUUGUAGGCAUUGGAGGUAUUGGGAAGACGGCUCUUGCUCAAGUCAUAUACAAUGAUCUAAUUGCGAAAAACGAAUUUGAUAACAGGAUAUGGAUUUGGGUGUCCAGCAACUUGGACGAAGUGAAACUUACAAUGGAGAUGUUAGACUUUGUUGCUCAAGAAAAGUGUGUAGGUACAACCAACUUGUCUAGACUUCAGGAGAUCUUGAUGACUUACGUCACGUCAAAGAGGACUCUACUUAUUAUGGAUGAUGUCUGGGAUGACAUCGAUGAUUUUCAAUGGAAUAAACUGUUGGCUCCUUUGAGGACUGACAAUGCGAAGGGUAAUGUGGUUAUAGUGACUACUAGAAAACUGUCUGUUGCAAAAAGGAUAGGCACAGUCGAACACAUCAAUUUAGGUCCUUUGCAGAAUGAUAAUUUCUGGCUGUUCUUUAAAGCAUGUGCAUUUGGUGAUGAAACUUGCAAAGAGCACCCAAGUCUAACCAUCAUUGGUCAGAAGAUAGCAAACAAUUUACAGGGUAACCCACUAGCAGCACAAACUGCAGGGAUGCUAUUAAGAGAGCAUCUUACAACUGACCAUUGGAGUAACAUUCUAAAGAAUGAAAAAUGGAAAUCCCUGCAACUCAAUGGAGGCAUCAUGCAUGCUUUGAAACUCAGCUAUGAUGAGCUGCCCUACCAUCUGCAACAAUGCUUCUUGUAUUGUUCUAUAUUCCCCAAUAAUCAUCAGUUUCUUAGCAAUGAGCUGGUCUGUAUUUGGAUCUCACAGGGAUUUGUUAAAUGUAGCCAUUCGACUGAAAGAUUGGAGGAGAUAGGACACAACUAUCUUACUGAUUUGCUGAACGCUGGAUUCUUUGAGCAAGUCGAAACUAAAGAUCCAAUUCUAGGCAAUAAAACAUUAUACUUUAUGCCUCCUCUUAUGCAUGACUUUGCCAGGCUCGUUUCAAGAACUGAAUGUGCUGCUAUAGAUGAUCUUGCGUGCAGAGUAGUCCCAAAUGUACGCCAUUUGUCAAUUCUAACUUCUUCUGCAUACCAUGAAGAUCAACAUGGGAACAUACCUCGUAAUGAGAAGUUUGAAGGAAAAUUGCGAAGAGUAGUCGAGUCAACAAAAAAAUUGAGAACAUUGGUCUUGAUUGGGACAUAUGACUACUUCUUAUUCCGAUCUUUAAAAGGCAUAUUCCAGAAGGCGCAAAAUUUACGAAUGCUGCAUAUUUCUGCAUCAUAUGCUGGAUUUGGUCAUUCUUUGUGCAAUUUGAUAAAUAACACUCAUUUUCGAUAUCUAAAACUUAGGACAAAAGAGGACAACCAAGCUUUGCCUGAAGCUCUGACAAAAUCCUAUCAUCUUCAAGUAUUAGAUAUAGACUUGCAUGGAUGUUCUACUGUAUCUAAUGGUAUGAAUAAUCUUAUCAGUCUAAGACAUCUUGUUGCAUCAAAGGCAGUGUACUCUUCAAUCAGGAACAUUGGUAAAAUGACCUCUCUUCUGGAACUACAUGACUUCAAUUGCACCAGCUUGGAGAUAGCACAACUUCAAUCCUUGAGUGAGCUUGCUCAGCUUGGUGUUUCUCAACUUGAAAAUGUUGUAACUAGAGAGGAGGCAUAUGGAGCAAAACUGAGAGAAAAAAGUCACUUAGAAAAGUUGCACUUGUCAUGGAAGUAUACUUUGCCAGACAUUAUGAGCUGUGAGCCUUUGUCAGGGUAUAUACAUGACAUUAUGAGCUCUGAGCCUUCUUUCGAUGCAGUAGAAACACAGACAAGCAAAGAGGUGCUUGAGGGUCUUGAACCACAUCCAAAUCUAAAGCAUCUUCAGAUUUCUGGGUAUCGCAGCGGUACCUCCCCAGAUUGGCUUGUUAGAACUGUCUCAGUCACCUGUUUGCAGACACUUCAUUUAGAGGAUUGUAGAGAAUUGCAGGUACUUCCCUCACUAGAAAGGCUUCCACUCCUUACAAAGCUGAAGUUAAGGAACAUGUGGAAAGUAAGACAAGUAACACUUCCUUCGUUGGAGGAGCUGGUGUUGAUUAAGAUGCCAAAAUUGGAGAGAUGCUCCUGCAAUUCAGUGAGGGACUUGACCUCGAGCUUAAGAGUACUGACGAUUGAGGAAUGCCGUGUGUUGGAGGUAUUUCCUCUUUUUGAGAGCUGUGAAAAACUCAUAAUGGAGCAAAAGUCAUGGUUAUCCAAUCUUAGCGUGCUUACCAUCCAUGAUUGUCCUCAGUUAAUAGUAUCAAAUCCUCUGCCACCUUCAAGUAGCACCCGUGAGUUAUCCAUUUCAAGAGUUUCGACCCUUCCAACAAUGGAGGCAUCAUCCAAUGCAGAACUGAUAAUUGGGAUGGCUAAAGUUCCAAUGCCUUACCCUUGCAGUGAUGAGGAUUCCAAUGAGCUGACGAAACUGGAUGACAAAAUCUUGUCAUUCCAUAAUCUGAGGGGCCUAACUCGCUUGAAAAUACGAGGCUGCCAGAAUCUAUCGUGUAUUUCACUCCGAGGUUUAAGGCAGCUCAUCAACUUGAAGAGUUUGGAAAUAAAUUUCUGCAAAGGUCUUUUUGCUUCAGAUGUUCUGCCAGAGCAUGCCGGUGAGGACAUGGCAGACGCAGGUUCCAUUGCCCUCCCAUCUCUCGAGCAUCUCGAGAUUGGGUCAUGUGGAAUAACUGGGAAGUGGCUAUCUAUGAUGCUGCAACAUGCAACGGCCCUAGAGAAAUUGUAUCUGAGACAUUGCGACCGGAUAUCAGGACUGCUGAUUGAAGGGAAAGGGGGAAGUUUAUCAAAUCACACCUGUACUACACAGGCUUCACUAGCAGGAAAUCCAGAUGACACACUGACAAGCUCAACUCCAGAGGGACUCCUGCGCAUCCCAUCAAAUCUCGUCUCCUCUCUCAAGGAAAUAAUGAUUACAUGGUGCAAUGAUCUAACAUUUAACGGGAACAGGGAAGGCUUCUCUGGAUUCACCUCCCUCGAGAAGCUAAAAAUUUUCAAAUGCCCCAAGCUGAUCCCGUCUUUUAUGCAGAAAUAUGAAAACAACGACCAAGGAAACGGGAGAUGGCUUCUCCCGCAUUCACUCCGCAUACUUGAGAUCUCCCAUACCCCAGAAACGCUGCAGCCCUGCUUUCUCGAAGAUCGUAACUGCCUCAGAGAGCUAGACAUAUGUUCCAGCCAUAGUUUGAAAAUUUUACAGCUGUAUUCUUGCACAGCACUCGAAGAGUUGACGGUUGCAAAUUGUAUAGCCCUCAUCGCCCUAGAGGGGAACUUCACCUGCCUCCGGAAAUUACAACUGGAGGAAAACCCAAGGCUGAAAUCGCUACAGCUGCGUUCCUGCACAGCACUGGAGGAGUUGAAGAUUCUUACUUGUGAAUCCCUCGCCACACUGGCGGGGAAUCUCACCUGCCUCAAGAAAUUAGUGUUGCAGGACAGCUCAGUGUUGGAAUCACCACAGCUGUAUUCUUGCACAGCACUCGAAGAGUUGACGGUUCAACAUUGUAAGGCCUUCAUCGCCCUAGAGGGGAACUUCACCUGCCUCCGGAAAUUACAACUGGAGUGGAACCCAAGGCUGAAAUCGCUACAGCUGCGUUUCUGCACAGCAUUGGAACAAUUGGUGAUUUGCUGCUGUGAAUCGCUCGACACGCUGGAGGGCUUCCGAUCCCUCAGAGGUCUCAGGUACUUGAAAGUAUACAUGUGCCCUGGCUUACCUCAUAUGGAGAACCUGUUAAGUCAGGGUUAUGAGCGGUGCGCUGGACUCGAAAGACUUCGCACCGAUGAUUUCUCUUUCCUCACCACGUCAUUAUGCAAGUGCCUCACCUCCCUUCAACAUCUAGAGUUUGGAAUUCCAGGGGGAGUGAGGAGACUAACAGAUGAACAGGAGAGAGCGCUUCAGCUCCUCACGUCCCUGCAGGAGCUACGAUUUUGGUCUAGCUACAACCUCGCAGAUCUUCCCGAGGGUCUGCAAAACCUUCCCUCCCUCAAGAAGUUGGAGAUAAUUCAUUGCAACCGUAUCUCAAGGCUGCCAGAAAUGGGCCUCCCACCAUCGCUGGAAGAACUGGCGAUCUACUCUUGCAGCAAAGAGCUAACUGAUGCAUGCGGAACGCUAGCAACAGCAAGCAGCAAGCCAAAGGUCAAAAUUGACGGGAAAUAUGUAAACUGAUUGCUGGGCGGCUGUUAAGCAGACUUGUCUGCGAGCGCGGCGGUUUUCAACUUUUCAUUGUGCUAUACCUUCUAAGGGAUUCAAGGUGCUGUACGUUCAGCUGCUACAGACAACCGUUUUCCAGAUCAAUCUCAUACAACUACAUGCCAUUCAACAAAGUGUUCCUAUCUCUUGCGGAUCGCCCAAUACUCCCAUUGAAGCGCUCAUGUUUCCCAGACAAGGGGCCACACGACCAAGGCGUGCUUCUUUCUUCUUCUUUUGGGAAAUAGAUACAAGGGACCCGCAUCGAUCCAUGCAAAAAUGUCUGCAUGUACAACAAAGCACCCUCCAACUCUCAGCUUCUCUCUUGUAUUAAUUAACAAACUAGACCAAUACUAUGGGACUCUGCCAAUUCAUGCCUUGCCUUGCCAGAAAUCAGACUGGGCUGCUACCAGCCGGAUAAUCUGCAUAAAUUUGAACCUGUGUGUGUGAUAUGCUACCUUACUAGUAAUGAGUUCAUUUUAUUUUUAAUUGGGUCUAACGAAGGCAAAGUGGAAUACAUGUCCUUCAUAUAGUAAAUGUAUCUUCGCAUCAUAUUGCUCCUCUUCUGGAGCCGUUCUGCAA